ensembl:rRNA predicted gene, 26157
GUCUAUGGCCAUACCACCCUGAACACACCCGAUCUCAUCUGAUCUUGGAAGAUAAACCAUUUGGCAAAAUAACAGCAAACACUAGUAAGUUUCCCCACGGGCCCACGACUUCCCCAGCUCUAGGCU